UACGAAGGGGGCUAGCGUUGCUCGGAAUCACUGGGCGUAAAGCGCACGUAGGCGGCUUUUUAAGUCAGGGGUGAAAUCCUGGAGCUCAACUCCAGAACUGCCUUUGAUACUGAGAAGCUUGAGUCCGGGAGAGGUGAGUGGAACUGCGAGUGUAGAGGUGAAAUUCGUAGAUAUUCGCAAGAACACCAGUGGCGAAGGCGGCUCACUGGCCCGGUACUGACGCCGAGGUGCGAAAGCGUGGGGAGCAAACAGG
rnacentral:rRNA from 1 species